CGCGCCUCUCCGCUUCCCCGCCGCGAUACCCACCCCACUAAUCACGCCCUCUCCAUCCCCGUCGCUCCUCCCUUCCCCAUCCGCACCAUCCGCUAAUCCGCAUCGUGCUGCCCUUCCCAUGCUCUCUCCUCCUCCGCCCGACCGCCCCCAUGCGCUUUGCCUCCGCAGGGAGGAGGUUCUCCUUCGGGGAUGGCAGUGCCGCGACCGGGGACGCGCACGCUGAGCAAGGGAGCGUGGAGAUGGAGGCGGAUCGGGGAUGGGAUCGCGUAGAUGGACGCGUGCAUCGCGCGGAGAUGGGGUCGGCCGGGGGUGUUAGCGACGGCGACUGCUUCUCUCCGGUAAUCUUGUCUCCAUCCUCCAUCCAUCGGACCAUCCCCAUCGUGGCGCAUCGGGCUCGCAGGGACGGCGGCGGCGCACGGCGGGUCAGUCCUGCGGCGGGUGACCGCGGGCGAGGCGAGGCGCCGGCGAGCGGCAGGCGGCCCGCGGCCCGUGCACAGCCCGGCCGUCGCACAGCACACCUGCGCGCGGCGCGGCUGGGCGCGUGGCAGGCGGCAGCAGUGCGGCGCUGCCGUGCUGCAGCAGUGGAGGUACAGGCGUGCAGGCGUGUAGCUGCAGGCAGGGGCCGCAGUGCUGCAGCAGUGCUGGUAGCUUGGUCCUAAAAGCCAAAGCCCAGCAUUGUUUCAGAUUUCUAUUGGUUUUGCUAAAGGGGACGUCGAUGUCCAGAUUACCAAGUUCACAAGCCUUGUGCCAAUCGACUUGAAGUUCGGAGCGUCACUAAUCAUACUAAAUGUUUGUGCCUAUAUAUGUUGAUAUAGAUUGUGGAGAGGCAUGCUAGGAACACUUGAAGGUGCGUACCACACGGUUAUCACUUGAAGCUUUGCUCUUGCUUCGUCUACGCCCGUGUGAUGACCAACUUAACCAUGCCGUGCAGCCUACUCAGCUACGAAUCUCUUGUGCUCUGUAUUAAAGGUUGACUUCAUACCAAACUUUGAUAACUCACAGAGGGAGCCAUCUCUGCUGCUGGCUCGUGUUCCAUCUCUAUUGUUGAAUGGUUCUUCUGGGAUUGCGGUCGGAAUGGCAACAAACAUUCCUCCUCACAAUCUGGGGGAGCUUGUUGAUGCACUUUCUGUUAUAAUUCAAAAGCCUAAAGCCACAAACCACCCAGCGGCUGAGGUUGCUGCUCUGCCUCCGCCGGCCACCACCGACACCGAGGAGGAUCGCGCAGCGGCCGCCACACCAGCCGACAAUGAUCCCUCCAUCACAGUACCGUAGGAAGAUUGAAAAAUAGCAGACUAAAGUAGAGAAAUGGUUUGAGAUAUGUGGCAUAACGAUGCCUAACAUCAAACAGGGGAUGUUCUAAUACAUAUUUUUGCUUACUAUGAGAAGAAGGUUUCAAUAUAUUUACAAACUAAUUGAUCAGUCCUUCAGAGGCUUCCAGGUUCAGCCGUGGUCAUCACGAGUACAAGCUGAUAAGAGCAACAACCGUAUGGAGCAUUACAGAUUUGGAGAGGAAGGUUGUUUGUUCUUCCUGCCGUUCCAAGAAGAUCUGGAGAGGAAGGCUGAGGUGCUCGAGAAGAAAAUAUUUCUACUUUGGGGCCAUGUAAAUCACAGAAUCAAGUUAGCAUAAAUUAUUUGGAGCUCAUGGUUCUUUUUUGGACUAAUUUCAGGUUUCCACACUGAUACAACAUGAUUGACUAAUUUCAGGUUUGAUUUGGUUAUUCUAUUCUCUUCUCGAUUUAAUGAAUGCUUUGAUAUUUUCCGCUAAUUAAAGAUGGGUUGUGAUUGAUCCAGGAAGAGUAUUAGUGAUGGGUUUAAAUACUAUUAUACUAAGACCUUAGCUAAGUUAUCUCUAUAUAAAUGGAGGUUUUUUCCUUUGGGUGUUUUUUCAUUCAUUAAGUUCAGCUUUUUUAUUGCUGUAUGUACCAAGCUGAAUGCCAUACAUGAGCUCCAAUAUGUCUGUUCUAAGAGAUUUACCUGAUAAUACUAUAUGCCAAUAUCAAGUUAUUUUUGGUACAGUCAAGGACACAGUUAGAAUGCUUGCAUGGUAGAGCUGACGAGUUCAGGCAAUAUGGCUACAAUGCAGUCCUUAUGCAAUCUGAUUCUGUCAACAGAAGGCACUGCAAGAUCCCAGAACAAGACGCUCGAGAAACGGGAUCGGCGGCAGCAAGGACACGAGGGCCGGAGGGGAGGAGCAACCAGAUGAGGUGCGUGGUCAAGCAAUCCCCUUUAGUUCAUGACCGCAGGCUAGGCGUCUGAACAAUAGGCGUCCGAACAAACAAACUGAGCUGUAAAGGUGUAAAGGGUAGCCUAGACAAUCCUGUAAUUGUGUUUGAUGGGAUGGCUUGUCCAAAGUUAAACGAAAGAAUCAAUAUUGUUGUCUCUUUGUAAUCGCAUUGAAUCGUCUCUUUGGGCGGUUGUAAUACUUCAUUCGGAAGGGUAUUCUUCAUCAGCAGGUUGCUCA